GGGUGAUAGCUCAGCUGGGAGAGCACCUCCCUUACAAGGAGGGGGUCGGCGGUUCGAUCCCGUCAUCACCCACCA
rnacentral:tRNA from 5 species